rnacentral:rRNA from 1 species
UACGGAGGGUGCAAGCGUUAUCCGGAAUCACUGGGUUUAAAGGGUGCGUAGGCGGCUAUGUAAGUCAGUUGUGAAAUACCUCGGCUUAACCGAAGGAAGUGCGAUUGAUACUGCGUAGCUUGAAUCAGGUUGAGGUAGGCGGAAUGUGACAUGUAGCGGUGAAAUGCUUAGAUAUGUCAUAGAACACCGAUUGCGAAGGCAGCUCACUACACAGUCAUUGACGCUGAGGCACGAAAGCGUGGGGAUCAAACAGG